AGCAGCCGCGGUAAUUCCAGCUCCAAUAGCGUAUAUUAAAGUUGUUGCAGUUAAAAAGCUCGUAGUUGAAUUUCGGGAUUAGUACGCUGGUAGUGCCAUCGGUAUGUACUGGUGUUACUGGUUCCUGCCUUCUGACGAACUGUCAUGUCAUUAAUUUGGUGUGGCGGAGAGUCAGGACUGUUACUUUGAAAAAAUUAGAGUGUUUAAAGCAGGCUC
rnacentral:rRNA from 1 species